UCCUGAUCAAGGUUUUACUGAAUUGAAACACAAUGACACUUAACUCCUCCUUAUUCAGAGGGGUCAAUUCUAUCUUGACUCACACAUCGACUUUGUAAGUACUUGACUGUGUCUAAAAAUCUUUCAUCAAUGUGUUAGAAAUUUAAAUAGUUCAGUACCAAAGCACAAUGAGUUACUUACAAGUCAUUGUGAUAAUCUCA
rnacentral:lncRNA from 1 species